rnacentral:rRNA from 1 species
UACGGAGGGUGCAAGCGUUAUCCGGAUUCACUGGGUUUAAAGGGUGCGUAGGUGGGCAGGUAAGUCAGUGGUGAAAUCUCCGGGCUUAACUCGGAAACUGCCAUUGAUACUAUCUGUCUUGAAUACCGUGGAGGAUAGCGGAAUAUGUCAUGUAGCGGUGAAAUGCUUAGAUAUGACAUAGAACACCAAUUGCGAAGGCAGCUGGCUACACGAAUAUUGACACUGAUGCACGAAAGCCAGGGGAGCAAACGGG